rnacentral:rRNA from 1 species
UACAGAGGGGGCAAGCGUUGUUCGGAAUUACUGGGCGUAAAGGGCGCGUAGGCGGCCUGCUAAGUCGAACGUGAAAUCCCCGGGCUCAACCCGGGAACUGCGUCCGAUACUGGUUGGCUUGAAUCCGGGAGAGGGAUGCGGAAUUCCAGGUGUAGCGGUGAAAUGCGCAGAUAUCAGGAGGAACACCGGUGGCGAAGGCGGUUCUCUGGGCAUGUCCUGACGCUGAGGAGCGAAAGUGUGGGGAGCAAACAGG